rnacentral:lncRNA from 1 species
AUGACAGAACCGAUAUGUCCUCAACCCCCGGCACCGCCAGUGCGGGUUGUUCAAUCCAUCGGCAAGCCAGCCCUCGUAAGGCCUCCUUCUGUCGGUCCACCAGAGAGACGUCAUUCCAGAUCACAGUCUCGCAGACGCUCUCGAUCACGUCAUUCCUGCUCCCGGCGCUGCUCACAGUGCCAGCACCGCUCUACAUCACGGUACCGGUCACACUCGCGGCGACGUUCAACAUCUCAUUCACCGGACAGAUACUCCCGGUACCGAUCUGGCUCUCGGCACCAAUCUCGGUACCGUGUAUCCCACAGUCGCUCCAGGCGAAGGAACUCGAGAUCCCGGUCAACCUCCUGGCACCGGUACAGUAGAAGGUCCCAGUCUCGCUCCCGGUACCGCCAUAGCUCCCGGUACUGCUGCCCGGUACCACCCUGGGAUCGAGCGUCAAGAACAAUGGCGCCCUCCCAGGGUCUCUCGGCACCACCGUGGCCUUCGAGACACACAUCAGUAUCUUCUCAGUCUGGCAGCGCAUCCUACCAUCAGGAGGGGGAAUCUGAUGUCCCCAGCCAAUAUCUGCAGGGACAAAGCCACAAACAAGGGCCUCAUCACUGGUACCACCAGGCCCAAGGUGCCCCAUCAGUGGCUCAACACUCGGCCCCAUCAGAACACCGGGUACCAGAGGCAACAGUGAGCCGCCCUCCCCCUAUGGGCACAGACGAGGCUCCAAUUCCCUCUGCAGUCACCGAGGUUCCACCUGAUGCAGAUGACGCCCCUCAAGUGCACGGCCCACCUCAGGACCCGUUGGUCCCGGGCCUCUCCUCCUCCUCACCUGAUGAGGCAGUAGCAGGAACAUCCUCCUCAGGCCCUCCACCAAUCGAUCUCAGAGCCCAUCAAGACCUCUUGAGGUGGGUGGCCCAGAAUAUGAACUUGCAGGUGGAGGAGGUCACUGAAAUAGCGGACCCAGUCAUGGACGUCUUAUUGGCUGAUGCACACACUAGAGUGGCUCUCCCGUUCAUCUGCACUAUACAAGCCAAUGCGGANCUUCCCUCUUCAAGGACCCCUCUCACGAGCAAGUCCUCUUACAAGAGUCCAGGCGCUCCUAAAACUGGGAGACAUAGAGGAGGUGCCAGAAGACAUGAGGGGCAAGGGGUUCUAUUCCUGCUACUUCUUAAUCCCCAAGGCAAAGGGAGGUCNCUCAAAGGGGCACGAAUAUGUCUACACCCACCCACCACCCUGCUCUCUGGUUGUCCAAUCAGUGAAUGA